rnacentral:misc_RNA from 1 species
GAAAAGAAUAAAAUCUUGAGAGAAGAAGAGUAUCUUGUUACUGAUUUCACAAUUGAAUGCGUUGAUACAAGCAAUAUCCCUCAUUUAUAACAGAGCAUCUUAUCAGCUGCUAACUGAUUCAGUUGUGUAACUGACUGCCUAACAAAAUUUCCCUCCAACCUUAUCCACUACAAUCAACUACUUAUUCUUCCUCCUACUAUAAUGCGUAACAGAUGCAUUUUAAAGCAAAGUUGAAUGCAGUAGAAUAAAUCAUGAAGAAAACAAGAUGCUCUAAUGUCUUAGAGUAAAUGCAUAAAGAAAUAUGUAUCCCUGUUCAAUUCCAAGCAAGCUAUGGAGAUUUCGAUAAUUUUAAAUUUCUGACCAAAAAAGCCAAGAAAUAUGCAGCUAACCAUAA